GUGGCGGAAGAAACCACGGGGAGAAAAUUAAUAAAAGUAAACGAGAAAUAAAAACAAGCAAAAGAAAUUCGAACUCAAUAUAAGAAAAUUUGCCAUCGUCCCCACCUUCAACCUCAUUUCGGACUUUCUUCCUCCAUUCAUCUCCGAUCAUCGGGGCCAUGGCUGGUGACGCUACUGGUUGAGGAACCGGCCUCCUCGGUAACGACCAUUCUCUACUAUAGCGAUCUCCUGCCUCAGACCACCGUCCUGGAGGGGCUGGUCCGCCGGGAUAUGCUCCACUCGGAGAACUACUUUUUCCAUUUCCUCAUAGGUUUCUUGAGAUGUUUCUGGUAAUCGAUCAGAUCCCGCUAGCAUAAGUUAUUUGUUGUCCUUGAGAUAAUGGUAUCAUCAAAAACUACUGAAAUAUAUUCAUAAGAUGCAUAACGUUGGCUAUGCAUACUCUUUUUGUAACCCAUUAAUUUUCAAUGAACAUUUUUAUUUAACUUUGCAGGA